rnacentral:rRNA from 1 species
AUGAACGCUGGCGGCGUGCCUAAUACAUGCAAGUCGAGCGAACAGACGAGGAGCUUGCUCCUUUGACGUUAGCGGCGGACGGGUGAGUAACACGUAGGUAACCUACCUAUAAGACUGGGAUAACUUCGGGAAACCGGAGCUAAUACCGGAUAAUAUUUCGAACCGCAUGGUUCGAUAGUGAAAGAUGGCUUUGCUAUCACUUAUAGAUGGACCUGCGCCGUAUUAGCUAGUUGGUAAGGUAACGGCUUACCAAGGCAACGAUACGUAGCCAACCUGAGAGGGUGAUCGGCCACACUGGAACUGAGACACGGUCCAGACUCCUACGGGAGGCAGCAGUAGGGAAUCUUCCGCAAUGGGCGAAAGCCUGACGGAGCAACGCCGCGUGAGUGAUGAAGGUCUUCGGAUCGUAAAACUCUGUUAUUAGGGAAGAACAAACGUGUAAGUAACUGUGCACGUCUUGACGGUACCUAAUCAGAAAGCCACGGCUAACUACGUG